AUUUGUCUUAAAGAUGUGUGUGUGUAUAUUUCAGUCUCUCAUAUGUGUAUACACACACACACACACACACACACACACACAUAUACAAACA
rnacentral:miRNA from 1 species